rnacentral:tRNA from 1 species
AGCCUUGAGGUGUUAUCAUGUCGGUUUGCAAACCCGAAGAAGCAGGUUAGACGCCUGCCGGGGCUU